rfam:Schistosoma rodhaini strain Burundi genome assembly, scaffold: SROB_scaffold0005884
AUCCAGCUGACGAGUCCCAAAUAGGACGAAACGCGCGUCCAUCUCUGCUU